AUAUGAAGGGCUGGUUUGAAAGAUAUGUCCUGGUUACCUUAUUGUGAAGGUUCCUUAGCCUAACUUCAAUGCUUGUUGCCUGGAGAGUAGUAGGCCUGGUGCAUCAUUCUCCCAUGUGCCAAAUGUCUGCUCUCUUUCCAGAGGUGUAGACCACAGUGGGAAUGCAGCCAUCUCUUGCCAAAGUAAGCUUGACAUUCCAGAUCAACACAGUGCAAUGGGGAUACUCCCAAGUGUGGAUUCAACCACUUGUCCAUCCUUCCACUCUAAUAUGAUGCUGGAAAUAGAGCAACAUUUAAAUAUGGGUAGAAGAAACCAAAAGCAAAGAAUGCAUAUGUGAACAGGAACCACCUCUAUCCACUCUCCUGUUACCUUUCAACUACUUUGAAGUUGUGUAGCAAUCAUAAGGUCAUCUAUUGCACGUGCUUAAAGCUGGGGAGAAAGAAAUGCAGGGAGGUGGACUUUCAGGUGGUAGAAUGCUCCCUCUUUGUCACAGGUCAUCUUUUUUUUUUUUUUUUCCUUCACAUUGAGCUGCACUCACUUCUCACUCUUGGAGAUAGCUGAGCUUGUCUAAGUCUUCAGUUACAUGCAUCCGUAUUUAAGCUGAGGUGAGCAGGUCUGUGCACCCACACACCCACACUCAUACACAGGCGAUCCCCAAGCCAGGCUCAGUGGGCUGGACCACUCGAUUUGACUGUUCCCUCUGUUGCCCCCCUCACUUGACACUGUCUGCCUGUUUUCCCAGUUUAGCCUGUGGGACAAGGAGGAGGCAGUGCCAUCAUCGCACAAGAGACCUCUGGCUGGACAAGGCUUAUACCAUGGUCUCCAGGGGGUAAAAAUGCAAUCCUGUCUGGUGGUACUCUUUUCCUGUGAGGAUAGUGGAUGCCACUCCAUGAACCACAAGUCCACUUGCUAUUCAAAUUAUUCUGGUUCACUCUCCUACCUUCUGCUUCACUACAAUUCUCUGUUCAUUUUCCACUUGUUCCUCCCAUGGCUUUCCAUUACUGAGAGUCACUACCUGUUCUUCAUUCUUACUUUGUGGAAAUCAGGUUCUGG
rnacentral:lncRNA from 1 species